rnacentral:rRNA from 1 species
AAACUCAAAGAUUGACGGGGCCCGCACAGCGAGACAUGUGUUUAUUCGAUGAUACGCGAGACCUUACCCGGGCUUGAAAUGUACCUGACCGUCCUUGAAAGGGGACUUCUAGCAAUAGCAGGUAUGUAGGUGCUGCAUGGUGUCGUCAGCUCGUGCCGUGAGGUGUCGGCUUAAGUGCCAUAACGAGCGCAACCCACAUUAUUAGUUACUAACAGGUUAAGCUGAGGACUCUAAUAAGACUGCCGUCGUAAGAUGCGAGGAAGGUGUGGAUGACGUCAAAUCAGCACGGCCCUUACGUCCGGGGCGACACACGUGUUACAAUGGGAGGUACAAAGGGCUGCUACCUGGUGACAGGAUGCUAAUCCCCAAAGCCUCUCCCAGUUCGGAUCGGAGUCUGCAACUCGACUCCGUGAAGCUGGAUUCGCUAGUAAUCGCGCAUCAGCCAUGGCGCGGUGAAUACGUUCCCGGGCCUUGUACACACCGCCCGUCAAGCCAUGGGAGCCGGGGGUAUCUGAAGUGCGUAACCGCAAGGAGCGUCCUAGGGUAAAACUGGUGACUGGGGCUAAGUCGUAACAAGGUAACCUAAU